GGGUUGUGAGGUUAAGCGACUAAGCGUACACGGUGGAUGCCCUGGCAGUCAGAGGCGAUGAAGGACGUGCUAAUCUGCGAUAAGCGUCGGUAAGGUGAUAUGAACCGUUAUAACCGGCGAUUUCCGAAUGGGGAAACCCAGUGUGUUUCGACACACUAUCAUUAACUGAAUCCAUAGGUUAAUGAGGCGAACCGGGGGAACUGAAACAUCUAAGUACCCCGAGGAAAAGAAAUCAACCGAGAUUCCCCCAGUAGCGGCGAGCGAACGGGGAGCAGCCCAGAGCCUGAAUCAGUGUGUGUGUUAGUGGAAGCGUCUGGAAAGGCGCGCGAUACAGGGUGACAGCCCCGUACACAAAAAUGCACAUGCUGUGAGCUCGAUGAGUAGGGCGGGACACGUGGUAUCCUGUCUGAAUAUGGGGGGACCAUCCUCCAAGGCUAAAUACUCCUGACUGACCGAUAGUGAACCAGUACCGUGAGGGAAAGGCGAAAAGAACCCCGGCGAGGGGAGUGAAAAAGAACCUGAAACCGUGUACGUACAAGCAGUGGGAGCACGCUUAGGCGUGUGACUGCGUACCUUUUGUAUAAUGGGUCAGCGACUUAUAUUCUGUAGCAAGGUUAACCGAAUAGGGGAGCCGAAGGGAAACCGAGUCUUAACUGGGCGUUAAGUUGCAGGGUAUAGACCCGAAACCCGGUGAUCUAGCCAUGGGCAGGUUGAAGGUUGGGUAACACUAACUGGAGGACCGAACCGACUAAUGUUGAAAAAUUAGCGGAUGACUUGUGGCUGGGGGUGAAAGGCCAAUCAAACCGGGAGAUAGCUGGUUCUCCCCGAAAGCUAUUUAGGUAGCGCCUCGUGAAUUCAUCUCCGGGGGUAGAGCACUGUUUCGGCAAGGGGGUCAUCCCGACUUACCAACCCGAUGCAAACUGCGAAUACCGGAGAAUGUUAUCACGGGAGACACACGGCGGGUGCUAACGUCCGUCGUGAAGAGGGAAACAACCCAGACCGCCAGCUAAGGUCCCAAAGUCAUGGUUAAGUGGGAAACGAUGUGGGAAGGCCCAGACAGCCAGGAUGUUGGCUUAGAAGCAGCCAUCAUUUAAAGAAAGCGUAAUAGCUCACUGGUCGAGUCGGCCUGCGCGGAAGAUGUAACGGGGCUAAACCAUGCACCGAAGCUGCGGCAGCGACACUAUGUGUUGUUGGGUAGGGGAGCGUUCUGUAAGCCUGUGAAGGUGUGCUGUGAGGCAUGCUGGAGGUAUCAGAAGUGCGAAUGCUGACAUAAGUAACGAUAAAGCGGGUGAAAAGCCCGCUCGCCGGAAGACCAAGGGUUCCUGUCCAACGUUAAUCGGGGCAGGGUGAGUCGACCCCUAAGGCGAGGCCGAAAGGCGUAGUCGAUGGGAAACAGGUUAAUAUUCCUGUACUUGGUGUUACUGCGAAGGGGGGACGGAGAAGGCUAUGUUGGCCGGGCGACGGUUGUCCCGGUUUAAGCGUGUAGGCUGGUUUUCCAGGCAAAUCCGGAAAAUCAAGGCUGAGGCGUGAUGACGAGGCACUACGGUGCUGAAGCAACAAAUGCCCUGCUUCCAGGAAAAGCCUCUAAGCAUCAGGUAACAUCAAAUCGUACCCCAAACCGACACAGGUGGUCAGGUAGAGAAUACCAAGGCGCUUGAGAGAACUCGGGUGAAGGAACUAGGCAAAAUGGUGCCGUAACUUCGGGAGAAGGCACGCUGAUAUGUAGGUGAAGUCCCUCGCGGAUGGAGCUGAAAUCAGUCGAAGAUACCAGCUGGCUGCAACUGUUUAUUAAAAACACAGCACUGUGCAAACACGAAAGUGGACGUAUACGGUGUGACGCCUGCCCGGUGCCGGAAGGUUAAUUGAUGGGGUUAGCGCAAGCGAAGCUCUUGAUCGAAGCCCCGGUAAACGGCGGCCGUAACUAUAACGGUCCUAAGGUAGCGAAAUUCCUUGUCGGGUAAGUUCCGACCUGCACGAAUGGCGUAAUGAUGGCCAGGCUGUCUCCACCCGAGACUCAGUGAAAUUGAACUCGCUGUGAAGAUGCAGUGUACCCGCGGCAAGACGGAAAGACCCCGUGAACCUUUACUAUAGCUUGACACUGAACAUUGAGCCUUGAUGUGUAGGAUAGGUGGGAGGCUUUGAAGUGUGGACGCCAGUCUGCAUGGAGCCGACCUUGAAAUACCACCCUUUAAUGUUUGAUGUUCUAACGUUGACCCGUAAUCCGGGUUGCGGACAGUGUCUGGUGGGUAGUUUGACUGGGGCGGUCUCCUCCUAAAGAGUAACGGAGGAGCACGAAGGUUGGCUAAUCCUGGUCGGACAUCAGGAGGUUAGUGCAAUGGCAUAAGCCAGCUUGACUGCGAGCGUGACGGCGCGAGCAGGUGCGAAAGCAGGUCAUAGUGAUCCGGUGGUUCUGAAUGGAAGGGCCAUCGCUCAACGGAUAAAAGGUACUCCGGGGAUAACAGGCUGAUACCGCCCAAGAGUUCAUAUCGACGGCGGUGUUUGGCACCUCGAUGUCGGCUCAUCACAUCCUGGGGCUGAAGUAGGUCCCAAGGGUAUGGCUGUUCGCCAUUUAAAGUGGUACGCGAGCUGGGUUUAGAACGUCGUGAGACAGUUCGGUCCCUAUCUGCCGUGGGCGCUGGAGAACUGAGGGGGGCUGCUCCUAGUACGAGAGGACCGGAGUGGACGCAUCACUGGUGUUCGGGUUGUCAUGCCAAUGGCACUGCCCGGUAGCUAAAUGCGGAAGAGAUAAGUGCUGAAAGCAUCUAAGCACGAAACUUGCCCCGAGAUGAGUUCUCCCUGACUCCUUGAGAGUCCUGAAGGAACGUUGAAGACGACGACGUUGAUAGGCCGGGUGUGUAAGCGCAGCGAUGCGUUGAGCUAACCGGUACUAAUGAACCGUGAGGCUUAACCUUACAACGCCGAAGGUGUUU
rnacentral:rRNA from 2 species